GAUCCUAAUUCCUAAUUACAUAAUUACAGCCUAAAUUAGAGCAACUAAUUAGGAACAAAUCAGGGAACAUAUCUCAUUACUCCCCUUCAACUAUAUUAUGUGAAUUGAUAAGUUGAUGUGAAAGGUUAGAAAAAAUUGUAAAAAAUGAAUGGAAAUUGGCAUCUUGCUGUAAUAUUAGGUUAGAAGGGCAUUUUUGUUUCAGGCUCUAUGGAAUGAAUUAAAGUAUCCAAUCAAGUACAAAAAUAAAAUUUUACUUCGCUUUUGGCAUUUUUUCAGGCACUGAAAAUUUAGAUGAGCUU
rnacentral:misc_RNA from 1 species